UCAGAAUGUAACUGUGGAGCUGAAACAGCACCACUUGUAGUAGUAGUAGUAGUAGUAGUAGUAGUAGUAGUAGUAGUAGUAGUAGUAGUAGUAGUAGUAGUAGUAGUAGUAGUAGUAAAGAUAAUUGCGCUUUCAUAACUGCAAUUUUCCUUUCUUUUUUUCUUACAAAAUAUCCAUUGACCACUCAAGUAGUAAAAACGUUUCAGCUGAUAUAACCUCCAGCCUUCAUCGACGUGAUGGUGAAAUUUCGAACCUGAGUUCUCAUUCUUAAGUUACGCUCACGUGUAUCUAUGCAUCAUUGUAUUUCAUGUGGACUUUUGUUCGUACAUGAAUUUUUGCAGAUAGCUUCGAAACACUAAGCUGAUAAUUUUCGACACAAUAAAUGAAAAAGUUUAAUGUAAGAAUGAGAUAACAAUAAUUCAAAUGCAUUUUGUUUUCAUAAACAAAUAUUAAAUAAAUUAGGUAGAAAAAUUAAACAUAGCAAAACGACUAAAAAAAAUUAUAUGACUUGGAUAUUAAAAGAAAAAUCUAUUUUAGUGAAGCAUGUAAAUACAACUGAAAUUGUUUAAUGUUAUAUUAAAAUCUAAUAUUAUAUAUUAAAUUUUUCACACGUUCACUUAUAUUUGUGAAAUAUACUUGCCAGUAAAAAGCAAGAGGAACAAUACAAUUUUCUAAUAAUGGCUCUAGUAAAAGGCGUGUAUACCAAUGCGUUCUAUAGAGCAGGCAGAAAGUGGAAUAUUUCAAAUUUUAAUAUCUUUAUAUAUGUUUUUCUUCUUGCAAUUUCUGAAGAAAGAAUAUUGUUAAACAUUUAUUAAUUGCAAAAAUGUACCAUGAAUAUCAAAAGAAUGUUCAACCAAUGAUCGUUUUCCUUAUAAUAUUAAGGCUUCACUUAAUAUUUUGAAACGACUUUGUUAAUAAUAAAUAAAUAUAAAAGUUCUUGAAGCAAAUAUCCAACACGAAGUUAACUAACUGAUAUGGCGUCAAUAAAAUUUUCCCAGAUUUAAAAUACAAAUAACCCGAAGUUACAGACUCAGUUGAAAUUAUUUGUAUGCUUCAGCGUGAAGUUAUUUGUAUAAUAUUGAAAGUACUAACUUUGUAUAUGUCAAAAUAUCCAGAUUCUCUCGAUACAAAAUAUGAUGUAUCCUU